rnacentral:rRNA from 1 species
AUUGAACGCUGGCGGCAGGCCUAACACAUGCAAGUCGAACGAGUGGCGGACGGGUGAGUAAUGUCUGGGAAACUGCCUGAUGGAGGGGGAUAACUACUGGAAACGGUAGCUAAUACCGCAUACCAUCGGAUGUGCCCAGAUGGGAUUAGCUAGUUGGUGUGGUAAAGGCUCACCAAGGCGACGAUCCCUAGCUGGUCUGAGAGGAUGACCAGCCACACUGGGACUGAGACACGGUCCAGACUCCUACGGGAGGCAGCAGUGGGGAAUAUUGGACAAUGGGCGAAAGCCUGAUGCAGCCAUGCCGCGUGUAUGAAGAAGGCCUUCGGGUUGUAAAGUACUUUCAGCGGGGAGGCGUUACCCGCAGAAGAAGCACCGGCUAACUCCGUGCCAGCAGCCGCGGUAAUAC